rnacentral:rRNA from 1 species
UACCUUUUGUAUCAGGGUUAAUUAAAUAAUUUUUAAAUAAUUAAAUAUCUCGAAAUUAAAAGGGUUAAAUAUAUAAAAUUUUUUUUGUGAAAUAAAAAUUAUAAAUAUAUAUUUGGAAAUUAAAUGUUAUUCAAUUUUAAUGAUAUCUAGUUUUUUUUGAAUUAAAUUUAAUUUAUAUAUUUUUUAAGAAUAAAUUUUAUUAAAAAAAUUUAUUUUAUAAAAUAUAAAUAAUUUAUGGGAUAAGCUAUAAAUUAUUAUAUAAUAAAUUUAAUUUAAAAUUUAAAUAAAUUAAUUUUAAUAUUUAAAAUAUUUAAUAAGUAUUUAAUAAUUUAUUAAUAAAUUUGGUUAAUAAUUUAAAUAUAUAUAUAUAUGUAUAUAUAAAUUAAAAAAAAAAUAAUUUUAAUAAAUUAAUUAUAUUAAAAUGAUUAAAUUAGUAAUUUAAGUUGUAUAAAUUUAUUUUUUUAAAAAAUAUUUUUAAGUAACUAGGCAAAAUAAUUAUAUUCACCUGUUUAACAAAAACAUGUCUUUUUGAUUAUAAUAUAAAGUCAGUUCUGCUCAAUGAGUAAUUAAAUAGCUGCAGUAUUUUGACUGUACAAAGGUAGCAUAAUCAUUUGUCUUUUAAUUGAAGGCUAGAAUGAAUGAAUUAAUGAAAUAUAAACUGUCUCAAUAAUAUAAAAUGAAUUUAAAUUUUAAGUUAAAAUGCUUAAUUUUAUUUAAGGGACGAUAAGACCCUAUAGAAUUUUAUAUAUUAUAAAUUUUUUUAAAUUAAAAUAAUAUAUUUGAUUGGGAGGAUUUUUAUAUUUAAUAAACUUUAAAAUUUAAAAAAUAUUGAUUUAUAGAAUUUAAAUUGAAAUAUAUUUAUUAUAUUAAAAGAAUAAAUUACCUUAGGGAUAACAGCGUAAUAUUUUUGGAAAGAUCAAAUUGAAAAAAUUGUUUGCGACCUCGAUGUUGAAUUAAAAUUAAUUAUAAAUGUAGGUGUUUAUAAAUUUAGUCUGUUCGACUAUUAAAAUUUUACAUGAUUUGAGUUCAGAUCGACGUGAGUCAGAUUGGUUUCUAUCUUUAAAAAAAUUUAAAAUUUUUGUACGAAAGGACUAAAUUUAAGAAAUUAUUUUUGUAAAGAAAAAUUAAU